UACGUAGGGGGCAAGCGUUGUCCGGAAUCAUUGGGCGUAAAGCGCGCGUAGGCGGCCCGGUAAGUCCGCUGUAAAGGUCCAGGGCUCAACCCUGGAAAGCCGGUGGAUACUGUCGGGCUAGAGUGCGGAAGAGGCGAGUGGAAUUCCUGGUGUAGCGGUGAAAUGCGCAGAUAUCAGGAGGAACACCAAUUGCGAAGGCAGCUCGCUGGGACGUUACUGACGCUGAGACGCGAAAGCGUGGGGAGCAAACAGG
rnacentral:rRNA from 1 species